rnacentral:lncRNA from 1 species
CCCAGCUCCUCCUCCCCCGACUCCGCUCUGCAGCUUGUGCUUCAGACCGUGAGCCUCUCUAGCCACUCCGGUGCUCCAGCUACCUGGCAGCCGGCUCCUGCACACGUGGCUGACAGAUGGCUCUACAGCAGCUGCAAGUCAAAAGGUCUUUCGGGCCCAAGGGCAAGAGCCGAAAUGAUCAAAAAAAGCAAGAGAGCCCACUGGUCCGAACAGGGGAUGUAAACAUCAGACAUAUGGUGGAAUAGAACAUGCUCUCCUUUCAAGGCUCAUCAGCAAAAUCGGCCCUGCCGGUGUGAUAGAUUUUAAUGGUGCUGCACCAUUAAUCAUACAAGGUCCACCUGAUUACGAAAGAGAAAAAGUUCACUUCUAUAACAAUCGCCAGUAAUAACAAGCCAUUAGACCCCGUAAAGUGAGUUGAAAUCCUUUUUAAUUGAUUAACAGAUUAAUAAAUGUUUCAAUGGAGUUUUCCUCA